AAAUUGAAGAGUUUGAUCAUGGCUCAGAUUGAACGCUGGCGGCAGGCCUAACACAUGCAAGUCGAACGGUAACAGGAAGCAGCUUGCUGCUUYGCUGACGAGUGGCGGACGGGUGAGUAAUGUCUGGGAAACUGCCUGAUGGAGGGGGAUAACUACUGGAAACGGUGGCUAAUACCGCAUAACGUCGCAAGACCAAAGAGGGGGACCUUCGGGCCUCUUGCCAUCAGAUGU
rnacentral:rRNA from 1 species